UAGGGAAUCUUCCGCAAUGGACGCAAGUCUGACGGAGCGACGCCGCGUGAGUGAAGAAGGAUUUCGGUUCGUAAAACUCUGUUGUUAGAGAAGAACAGCGCAUAGAGUAACUGUUAUGCGUGUGACGGUAUCUAACCAGAAAGCCACGGCUAACUACGUGCCAGCAGCCGCGGUAAUACGUAGGUGGCAAGCGUUGUCCGGAUUUAUUGGGCGUAAAGCGAGCGCAGGCGGUCAAUUAAGUCUGAUGUGAAAGCCCCCGGCUCAACCGGGGAGGGUCAUUGGAAACUGGUUGACUUGAGUGCAGAAGAGGAGAGUGGAAUUCCAUGUGUAGCGGUGAAAUGCGUAGAUAUAUGGAGGAACACCAGUGGCGAAGGCGACUCUCUGGUCUGUAACUGACGCUGAGGUUCGAAAGCGUGGGUAGCAAACAGG
rnacentral:rRNA from 1 species